rnacentral:lncRNA from 1 species
GUGAGCCAAACUAAAUUUAAUUUUUUUUCACUCAUUAAUAAAUGAGUCAGGUGACCAAUCCAUAAUAAGUCAGAUCGGAUCACAUCAAAUGACUUUUUUGACGACACUAUUUUACACUUUAAAUAAUGAGACAUACAAUGACUCCUUUGAAAGGGCUUUUUAAGAAAAUACUGUUUAUUGAAACUCUAAACUUCAAAAUUCUUUAAUUAUGUUGGCUUGGUCACC